rnacentral:lncRNA from 1 species
AUGAACACAAAAUAAAACUCACUGGAAGAUGUUUAAUGUACUUUAAAAUUCACAGGAUAAAUAACUCAAAUAGAAUCGUUAAAUCCAUCACAUCUUUCACUUUACUCAAAAACGAAAAAGCAAAGAAAAGCGUACAAGUAUCAAAACAAGCUGGCCCAACAAUGACAAAUACUAAAAACAGAUAGGUAAACUUUUGCAAUAGAACUUCAAAAGAAUCAGUAAGUAAAGAAGAACAAAGUUGUCCAUCAAGAUCAUACAUAACUCCCCUUUCCCAUUCAUGGUGCUGGGAUGUUUAAGUGAGUAAGUGCAGGCACAUGUUUACAGCUGAUAGUUCAAAACUACUAGAAGGUAGAGUCAUCGUGAAAUAUCUGAGUGUAGAAUUGACAAUAGCAGAUGCUAAACAUGUCAACAAGGCUUCUUCCUGCAAAACAGUCACCCACUCAGCAUCACAGAUGGGUGAUCACAGAAUGCCUCCCAUCAUAUCAUCACUGAUUCAUUGUGAAAACCUCCGACCUGAGAUAAAGACGAGAUUUAUUACCAAGUAUUUCAAAAAAGGUUGAUGGAAUUAAAUUGUUGAUAAACG